GAGCUGAGCGGGCCCGGGGCUGGGCUGUCAGGGCUCCGGGGCCGGGUCUGCCCUCCCGUGCAGUCAGGUCCCCCAGCCUACCGGGGCCCCCGACUUUAAAGUGCUCAACUUGGGGUCGGCGCCAUCAUGACGCCUGAGACUAUGCCACGGAGUCUGGUCUUUUCCUGAAGUUAUUGCUGUUCAGACACCCAGGAUUAAAAGCCCACAGCAUCUAUCUGGUUUCCAGUUUCUGCUCAGCUAUCUGUUUCUAGAUAGUUCUGGUGCUGGUCCAACUGGAUGUCUACAUGCAGAAAAAUGAAAAUAGAUCCAUAUUCAUCAUCCUGCACAAAACUAAAGUCCAGGUGGAUCAAAGACCUCAACAUAAAACCAGAUACUCUAAAUCGGUUAGAAAAAAAGUGGGGAAGACCCUAGAACUCAUUGGUACAGGAGACAACUUCCUGAGCAGAACACCAACAGCACAGGCUCUAAGAGCAACAAUCAAUAAAUGGGACCUCAUGAAACUGAAAAGCUUCUGUAAAGCAGAGGACACUGUUAUCAUAACAAAAUAACAGCCUACAUACUGGGAAAGGAUCUUCACCAACCCUAUAUCUGAUAGAGGACUAAUACUCAGGUUCAUGGAAUAUGAUCCUCUCCUCAAGUACCCUAGUUGAGAUAAUCCCCUAAAAGUGUGCCUAGAGGCUUGUUCCCUGGGGGACUCUGGAUCUUAUCAAUUGACAGCCAAUAUUGAUAAUCACAAGAGACCACUCAGAUAUGAUGUGCAAAGAGAACAGGUGGAAAGUGGCCUGUUGUCUAGCUGUUCAUCCAUUUGACAAUUGCAUCUUGGAAGAGGAGUGAACAUGACAAGAAAAGGAGUGAAUAUGGCCGGCAGAACCGUGGAUGGUGUUGUGAGACAUUGUCUUCUCAACCUGACAAGGUCAUUGCAAUCAUGAAAGCAUAACAGCUGCAGACAUCCCUAUAACACCUGCAGCGUUCAGUCACAUGGGAGGCAACACAUGAGGCCACCCCUCCUCCCUGAGGAUCUUUGGACAGGUGAGGAAAGCCCAGAGGCUCCUCCCUUCCAGGAAGGAAUAAUUCAUGGAUAUUGUCAUUCCUUGGAGGAGAUGGUGUCACUAUUUUCAGUGGAAUAACCAACCACUACAGCCACAGGGACACAGGGAUGAAUACAAACUCCACCUGCCAAGUCCAGAGGUGCUGCUUCUAUAUCUUGAAGACUGGCUGAGCUAGUAGGAAUCUGGACCCUGAAGAAGACUAACUAACCCUGUCUCAGAAGACGUUUGUUGCCCAUAGCUCUUAUUGUAGGGGUUCAGCUUCCUCGGAUUCUCCCAUCCACACUGGCUUGUCCACUCACAUCAGCAUCAUGCGUGACUUGCUCAGGCAACUGUAUUUUUGAUAUUUGAUAGCUGUACAUUCGCUGUCACAUGCAGAAGACACUAUCUUACAGCAGGCAUCCAGUUCUUCCAGCUCUUACAAUCUUUCCACCCCUUUUUUUGUGAUGUCUUUACACCUUAGGUAGGAGGUUGUUUUGUAUGUGAGCACCCAUGGUCAGUUGUUCUGUGCAUUUUGAGCAAUUAUGAGCUUCUGUGGUGCUCUCUACCUUAGAAAGAAGUUUCUUUAAUAAUCACAGAAAACUGCGUUAAUGUGAAAAUAAAGAUAGAAAUUCAGAAUGCAGUUGGGAAUUAUACUGGUUCAAAAAUGAGAUAGAAGUAAGUUCUUUUAGGCACAAAACACCAUCAGCCACAGGUGGUUGGCAAAGUUUACAGUACAAGACAAAUGUUUUUGCCUAUUGAUCAGGCCUUAAGUCGAGUUAGGCAGAUGUUGCUGCCCUAAGAUAAAACUGUCGCUAUGUCAACAGAACAAGAAAAUUUGAACACAGGUAACUUCCCAAAAACUCAUACUCCAACCAAGGACUAUUCAUGGAGAUGACCUAGAACCCUGACAAUGCAGGCACUUCUGAUGAGAACUGAUAGACUAGGAUCAGAAA